rnacentral:rRNA from 1 species
AUGGUGCUUCAACUUGUGUGUCAGGUGGUCAGUGUACUCUGGCUUGCCGUUCAUCACUUCGCAGAACACCGCCGACAAAACUUCGGCAAGCACACCAAGAACAUUCGCUUCAAAGAGAACUAUGGACGCGAGCCCGGAGCCCACCGCCGUGCCAUUAACCAUAGCAAGGCCUUCCUUGGGUUGCAGCUCGAAGAAGCCGUGCUGGAUGCCCGCAAUCUUAAAUGCCUCGGCGGCAUUAACCUUAGUGCCAUCAGGAGCCACGGCCACGGCAUUCGAGCGGCCGGUGACAAGUCCCGCGAUGUAGGAGAGCGGGACGAGAUCGCCAGAAGCGGUGAUGGUGCCCCGGAGCGGCAGGCACGGUGUCACGUUGGCAUUGAGCAGCGUGGCGAUGGUCUCGAGGAUCUCGAAGCGGAUGCCGGAGUAGCCUUGGAGCAGGGUGUUGACGCGGACAAGCAUCGCCGCGCGCGUGGUGGCAGCGGGCAGCACAUGGCCGUCGCUGCCGGUGCCGAACGCACCGGCGUUAAGGAACCGGAUGAGCUCCCUCUGCAGAGCGCCGCCCUCCUUGGUCCUCCGAUGGGAGGUGGCGCCGAAGCCGGUGGUGACGCCGUAGCUGUCGGUGCCGUUGGCCAUGCUGGUCAUGACCCAGUCGCUGCUCUCCUUGACGCGGCCGCGGGCGGACUCGUCGAGCUCCACCCUGGCCCCGUCGGCGGCGGCCACCGCCGCGACCUGGGCGAUGGUCAAGCUUGCGCCCUCCAUAACCACCACCGGCCUGCGGUACUCCUCCACCAUCCGCUUCACGGCGUCCAGAUGGCUCCCCGACAGCGCCUCCGCGGCUUUCCCCCAGUUGAGAGGGUCAGCACUCCGCGGCUCGGCCACGCACAAACCGUGGUUGCCGUUGGCCGCCAUUGGUUUGAUCAACAAUGGAUCUUGAAGUCUCGAUGGAGCAGAUUUGUGGGAGAAAAGAGCUCGAGUAGAGAUUAG